AUGGUGGCUGUUACACUAAGAUGGAGCCAGAGCAUCUCGGGAUGCUGUCCGACACUCCGAGGGCAGCAGAACUCUCGCUGGGUGGCUGAUGGCAGACCCAUUCUCUUGCCUCGAAUGCAGCAGACUGACCGCUUCCAGUCCUGUGCUGUCCCACUCCGCAUGAUCAGCAGUGGACGAUCACAAUGGGAAUGGCCGAAUGAACAGGAGAACAUGCAGCCUGCAGUCUCUGGCGAAGAUCGGGCAGAGGUUUCUGGGCUGUGCCAAGCCACGGUUUUGUUUUACCUCGUGAUGAGGAACAGCUGUGUCCCAAAGGGGCGGCACCUCGCCGCCUCCGCAGUGUUUUGA
rnacentral:lncRNA from 1 species